UAGGGAAUCUUCCGCAAUGGACGCAAGUCUGACGGAGCAACGCCGCGUGAGUGAAGAAGGAUUUCGGUUCGUAAAACUCUGUUGUUAGAGAAGAACAGCGCAUAGAGUAACUGUUAUGCGUGUGACGGUAUCUAACCAGAAAGCCACGGCUAACCACGUGCCAGCAGCCGCGGUAAUACGUAGGUCCCGAGCGUUGUCCGGAUUUAUUGGGCGUAAAGCGAGCGCAGGCGGUUAGAAAAGUCUGAAGUGAAAGGCAGUGGCUCAACCAUUGUAGGCUUUGGAAACUGUUUAACGUGAGUGCAGAAGGGGAGAGUGGAAUUCCAUGUGUAGCGGUGAAAUGCGUAGAUAUAUGGAGGAACACCGGUGGCGAAAGCGGCUCUCUGGUCUGUAACUGACGCUGAGGCUCGAAAGCGUGGGGAGCGAACAGG
rnacentral:rRNA from 1 species